rnacentral:rRNA from 1 species
UACAGAGGGGGCAAGCGUUGUUCGGAAUUACUGGGCGUAAAGGGCGCGUAGGCGGCCUUCUAAGUCGAACGUGAAAUCCCCGGGCUCAACCCGGGAACUGCGUCCGAUACUGAAAGGCUUGAAUCCGGGAGAGGGAUGCGGAAUUCCAGGUGUAGCGGUGAAAUGCGUAGAUAUCUGGAGGAACACCGGUGGCGAAGGCGGUUCUCUGGGCCUGUACUGACGCUGAGGAGCGAAAGCGUGGGGAGCGAACAGG